ACUUUCCCCUGUUUCUCAUCAUUAUGGCAUUUUGUAAUUUGUAUUUUGAAGUUGUAUCUCAUCUUCCCGAAACUUCCAAGAGAUUAUUCUACCAAGUACAUGAGAGUCCUCUGAUAACACUGGUAUUUGGCAUCGAGCUCUUUAGAUCCCCCCGCCCAAUGCCAAUGUCCUUCAACUAGAGACCACCAGGAACAUAUCUGUGGACCAGUUGAGUUUAUUACUUAUGGUAAAGAAGGACAAGCAUACCACAGGCCAGGAAGUAGGUGUACAAUCUAUUAUAGGAUAUGGACUUUGGUUGGUUGAUUUGGUGUAGGAGUGAAGUAAAGGAAAUAGUGGUUUUCUCUGAACUUCUCCAGGAGGCAAGGAAAGAUAAUUUUAUGACUGUUUUAAUUUUAUCUGAGGGGAAAGAAAAACAGACUGAUGUUAAAACUGUAAUUGAUAAAGAAGCAGCAGUUACAUUAGGUGGGAAAGGGAAAGCAUGCAGGGAAGGCUUGGAUGGGGUUCAUAAUUGGGCUGUGUUCACAUAUGAUUAUGGAAGAAUAAGACCUUUUUUGUCUUGAUCUAUUCUGAUCUUAGAGUUUCCAGUCUGAAGUUAAUGUUCUAUGAAAUUGCUUAGGUUCACUAGGACACUCAGGCCUGGCUAUGAAUGCCAGGCAGUAUCUAGAAAUAGCAAGACUCAACUGCUAGUCCCAGCACAACCCCUGGAGGGUGGGCUCUUUUCUCUCCAUGACCAAGUUCUUUGUUACUUCAUGAAAUCCAUUCAUGGUGAAUGCCAUUUCC
rnacentral:lncRNA from 1 species